rnacentral:tRNA from 1 species
ACCUGGCUAGUUCAGUCAGUAGAGCAUUCAGCUCUUGAUCUGAGGGUCGUGAGUUCAAGCCUCACAUUGGGUA